rnacentral:rRNA from 1 species
UACGUAGGGGGCUAGCGUUGUCCGGAAUCAUUGGGCGUAAAGAGCUCGUAGGCGGUUUGUCGCGUCUGCUGUGAAAACUCGGGGCUUAACUCCGGGCCUGCAGUGGGUACGGGCAGACUAGAGUGCGGUAGGGGAGACUGGAAUUCCUGGUGUAGCGGUGAAAUGCGCAGAUAUCAGGAGGAACACCGGUGGCGAAGGCGGGUCUCUGGGCCGAUAUUGACGCUGAGGAGCGAAAGCGUGGGGAGCGAACAGG